rnacentral:misc_RNA from 1 species
UUUUAUUUUUUCAACCAUUCACAAUUCAACUGUGUUUUACCAACAACCCAACUUAUCUGAUUUCACUUGGUAAACCAAAUAUUUAUCUUUUGUCCAUUUUGGGUUUUGUUGAUUUGGCACAGAGCAAGCAGAAUUAGGCAUUCUUGAAUCAUUUUUUGAGGCAGAGCAUUCAAAAAUUGGUUCCUUAUGGUGUUCCAAAGUUCGCUUUAUAAUUGAUUACUAGAAUACUUGUUGUCGAAGGAAGAAAAAGUUGCUCUUGCAGAGUUCUAUCUCUUGUGAUUAUUUCUCCUAUCUUUAGUAAGUUGACUAAGGUGGAGGAUGGAGUCUGCCAAACGAUGGUUCUGUAAGCUUGGCAAGAAAGAUAAGCCUAAGCCUCCCAAGAAGCAGGAAACUACUAGUAAUGGGAAAGAAGGGUCGAAAUUGUCGCCUCAUGAGGAAGCACCUUCAACUGCCACUAAACAGAAAGUUGCAGCUGCCAAGCAGUACAUAGAAAAACACUACAAGGAACAAAUGAAGAGCUUGCAGGAGCGUAGAGAGCGACGCAAUAUGCUUGAAAAAAAAUUAGCUGAUGCUGAGGUUUCCGAGGAAGAGCAGAGCAAUUUACUGAAGUACCUUGAGAAAAAGGAGACAGAAUUUAUGCGCAUUCAAAGGCAUAAAAUGGGUGCUGAUGAUUU